UACGUAGGGUGCAAGCGUUAAUCGGAAUUACUGGGCGUAAAGCGUGCGCAGGCGGUUCGCUAAGACAGAUGUGAAAUCCCCGGGCUUAACCUGGGAACUGCAUUUGUGACUGGCGGGCUAGAGUAUGGCAGAGGGGGGUAGAAUUCCACGUGUAGCAGUGAAAUGCGUAGAGAUGUGGAGGAAUACCGAUGGCGAAGGCAGCCCCCUGGGCCAAUACUGACGCUCAUGCCCGAAAGCGUGGGGAGCAAACAGG
rnacentral:rRNA from 1 species